rnacentral:tRNA from 1 species
GCGGGUUUAGCUCAGUUGGGAGAGCGUCAGACUGAAGUCAAACUUCGGGAAUCCGAUAUCUGAAGGUCGUGUGUUCGAUCCACACAAACCGCA